AUCCCUCCAUCCCUCCCUCCCAAACCCAUGCUCUGCAAAGGGGAGAUUGACACAGCAUUUUUGCUCAGGAGAGUGCGCACAGACAGGAUUACAGUCGGGAAGGAGGCAGCGGAGGACAAUAAAGGAUUAAAAGAGAGAAACAACAAGGAUAAAACAAUGUGUGAGCGAUGAAGGAGAACCUAGGAGGAGAAACUAAAAGAAAGGAAGAAUGAAAGAAGGGAUCACACAUCACAUGAAUCCAAGGGUUGCGGGACCUUUGCCCUGGACAGUGAAAGUGGAAUUCUGAAAAGUGAAGUGGCGGCACACGAGGAAUUCAAAUAACAACCAGAAAGAGACAGAAAGUAACAGCUAAUUUGCAGGUUAAAUCAGAGGGAAAUCUCUGCUUCUGCAGCCUUGAGAAAGUGAAAAGAAAGGCCUCAUUGUAUCUGAAAGAGUCAAGAGGAGGAACAGGAGACAAGGAAUGCUGUAAAUAAAUUCUUAGCUUAUGGCUUCAAAAAGUCCUGUGAUUCCAUUCUUUAUAAUAAUACAAAUACAACUUUAUUCAAAGAAAACAUAUCAGAUUCAAAACAUCAUAGUAGUACACAAAAUGUACAUCAUCACUGAGAAACUUUAAUAUAAAGUCUUUUUGUUGUGUGCAUGAGGCACAAAUCAACUGUUUGCCUCGAUUACAUCAAUCUGACCUCGUCUUGUCUCACACCAGACAGCCUCGAUUGCUGUUUUAUGGCCACCUUAAAAGCAUUAUCAAUCAAAAAUGGGAACAAAUAAACACACUGAGACAUUUUACCUCCAACAAAAUGAUUCAUUAUGCUUUGAUAAUAGCUACACAGUACGGAACCGUGAAGUAGGUCAAACAUUGGACCAUCAUCUACGGACAGUCAGUAGACUAUUAGUGAGCUGCUGCUAAUGAGCUGUUCAUUGUCUCUCUUUGUUUGUUUGUCCAGCAAACAAAGAUUCAGGGUCGCAUCCAGAACAUUCAGAUCUACAGAUUGGAAAAAGAAGCAAAGUAAAUGAAAAAUUUCCUUAUUAACCCUCGUGUCGUCCUGCGGGCCAAAAUUGACCCGUUUUAAAGUUUGAAAAUGUGGGGAAAAAAAAAACUCACAGUGAAACUUCUGAUGUCCACAAUUUCAACAUUUUUGGGAAAUCUUUGAACAUUUUUUUGGUGGAAAUUCCGCUGGAUUUUGGUUGAUUUUUAUGUGAAUGUUCUUAAAGAAAAUAUUAGAAGUUUUACUGAUAAAUAUGGAAUCAUUUUAGAUGUUUUUAGGAAUUUUUUUGGAAGAUUUUUACUCAUUUCUUGAAAGUAUUUUCAAGAAUUUUCUUGCCAAUUUUGGGGGAUUU
ensembl:lncRNA